CCUACGGGAGGCAGCAGUGAGGAAUAUUGGUCAAUGGUCGAGAGACUGAACCAGCCAAGUCGCGUGAAGGAAGACGGCUCUAUGAGUUGUAAACUUCUUUUGUACAGGAGUAAAGUGAGACACGUGUGUUUUAUUGCAAGUACUGUACGAAUAAGCAUCGGCUAACUCCGUGCCAGCAGCCGCGGUAAUACGGAGGAUGCAAGCGUUAUCCGGAUUUAUUGGGUUUAAAGGGUGCGUAGGCGGUAUUACAAGUCAGGGGUGAAAUCUUGGUGCUUAACAUUAAAAUUGCCUUUGAAACUGUGGUACUUGAGUGUAAAAGAGGUAGGCGGAAUGUGUUGUGUAGCGGUGAAAUGCAUAGAUAUAACACAGAACCCCGAUUGCGAAGGCAGCUUACUAUCAUACAACUGACGCUGAUGCACGAAAGCGUGGGGAUCAAACAGGAUUAGAUACCCCAGUAGUC
rnacentral:rRNA from 1 species